UACGAAGGGGACUAGCGUUGUUCGGAUUUACUGGGCGUAAAGCGCGUGUAGGCGGCUGCGUAAGUCGGGCGUGAAAUCCCACGGCUCAACUGUGGAAGAGCACUCGAAACUGCGUAGCUAGAGUCCUGGAGAGGAAGGUGGAAUACUUGGUGUAGAGGUGAAAUUCGUAGAUAUCAAGUGGAACACCAGUGGCGAAGGCGGCCUUCUGGACAGUGACUGACGCUGAGACGCGAAAGCGUGGGGAGCAAACAGG
rnacentral:rRNA from 1 species